UUAAUUUGAAACAGGUCUUCAUUUCCCUGCCUAUCAUGCUCAUUGAAAGGUUCCUGCCAACUCUGUGGUGUUGUUUUUGUUGCUAUAUAAUUUGCUGUAUCAGGACUUUAUAUUGGACCAAUAUGCAACUUAUAUUGCAGCCAAUCUAGAGACCAGUCCUAAAAUAUUAAUUAGGGGAACUGUUUCAGAUGAUGUUUCUGCACUCUGACAUCUGACUUUAGAUAUAGGUCUUAAAGUAAAGGUCUUAAAAAGUCUUGAAUUUGACUCGAUGAAACCUGCAGAAACCCUGUUUGCUACAGUGAGUAGAUGGUCUGAUUAUUAUGUAUUGUGUAACAUACUUGUCGUCACUGAUAACUGAUCACCAUAACCACAUAUGACUAUAUGUUUUUUUGUAACUUGAGCUGGGCUAUCUAUGGUCAAAUGAAGCAUGUGGCAGGAUGUGGUAUUUGGCGUAGUUCCGUUAGCAUAACGAAUAAUGAAACCAACACACUCUCAAA